rnacentral:rRNA from 1 species
CCUACGGGUGGCAGCAGUGGGGAAUAUUGGGCAAUGGGCGCAAGCCUGACCCAGCAACGCCGCGUGCAGGAAGAAGGCCCUCGGGUUGUAAACUUCUUUUAUGCUGGACGUAACAAGUGACUGUACCGCAUGAAUAAGCCACUGCUAACUGCGUGCCAGCAGCCGCGGUAAUACGUAGGUGGCAAGCGUUAUCCGGAUUUACUGGGUGUAAAGGGCGUGUAGGCGGGAGAGCAAGUCAGACGUGAAAUUCCAGGGCUCAACCCUGGAACUGCGUUUGAAACUGUUCUUCUUGAGUGAUGUAAGGGCAGGCGGAAUUCCGGGUGUAGCGGUGAAAUGCGUAGAUAUAAGGAGGAACACCAGUGGCGAAGGCGAGCUGCUGGACAUUAACUGACGCUGAGGCGCGAAAGCGCGGGGAGCAAACAGGAUUAGAUACCCCAGUAGUC